GGCGGGUCCCCUCGCAUACACUUGUCGUAAACCUGGUCAGGUCGGGAACGAAGCAGCCAUAGCGAAUUUAGUGUAGUGCCGAGGAUCAGGCUCGCCUCC
rnacentral:SRP_RNA from 1 species